rnacentral:misc_RNA from 1 species
GCAUUUCCUAGCCCUUUCAAGACAAGCAAGAAGCGGUUCCAGAACGUCGGUGAUGAUGAUCGAGGUAAUUUGCAUUUGUGCGAACAUGGAUCGAAAUCAAAGGUUUCGAGCGAAUUAAAGCAUAAGGAAUCACAAGUUCAAUAUGUUAAAGCAGUCCAGAAUGAUAGUGAAAACCAUAAAGAACGGAAACAUGUAUCGCUUGAACGUGUUAUAGGUUUUAUUUUUGAUCAAUUGGCUCAUAAUCUACAGAAAUUUGAUCUGAGUUUACAGCAAGCAGACAGCAAAGAUUGUGAUUAUGAUUGUUCAACUCCACCCCCGGAAUCCUUCCAGUUUGAUCAUUUGAGGGCAGUCAUGAAUAUUUGGGAAGGUCGAAAGGUGGAUGUAAAUGGGUUGUUGGGGAAUUUGAACUUUGCAAGAGUAGGCGUUCCUUCAGGUGUAGUUGGAGUAUCUUCUUCGGCCAACGAAGAAGGUGAUGGUGGUAUCAGUGCUGGCAGUGGGGAGGAAACAGGGGGUAGUUCAUCACAGAAGUUGGCAAGUGGGUUACUCAGUAUUCCCUUAUCAAAUGUAGAGCGUUUGAGAUCCACACUAUUUACAAUUUCAUUGCCGGAGCUAAUUGAGCUUGUGCCACAGCUGGGGCGAUCUUCUAAAGACUAUCCUGAUAAGAAGAAGCUAUUCUCUGUCCAGGAUUUUUUUAGAUACACAGAGUCUGAAGGAAGGAGGUUCUUCGAGGAACUAGAUAGAGAUGGUGAUGGUCAAGUAACAUUGGAAGAUCU